GUCUACGGCCAUACCACGUUGAAAACACCGGUUCUCGUCUGAUCACCGAAGUUAAGCAACGUCGGGCCCGGUUAGUACUUGGAUGGGUGACCGCCUGGGAAUACCGGGUGCUGUAGACUUUU
rnacentral:rRNA from 1 species